AGUGAACGCUGGCGGUAGGCCUAACACAUGCAAGUCGAACGGCAGCACAGUAAGAGCUUGCUCUUACGGGUGGCGAGUGGCGGACGGGUGAGGAAUACAUCGGAAUCUACUUUUUCGUGGGGGAUAACGUAGGGAAACUUACGCUAAUACCGCAUACGACCUACGGGUGAAAGCAGGGGAUCUUUGGACCUUGCGCGAUUGAAUGAGCCGAUGUCGGAUUAGCUAGUUGGCGGAGUAAAGGCCCACCAAGGCGACGAUCCGUAGCUGGUCUGAGAGGAUGAUCAGCCACACUGGAACUGAGACACGGUCCAGACUCCUACGGGAGGCAGCAGUGGGGAAUAUUGGACAAUGGGCGCAAGCCUGAUCCAGCCAUACCGCGUGGGUGAAGAAGGCCUUCGGGUUGUAAAGCCCUUUUGUUGGGAAAGAAAAGCAGCAGGUUAAUACCCCGCUGUUCUGACGGUACCCAAAGAAUAAGCACCGGCUAACUUCGUG
rnacentral:rRNA from 1 species